rnacentral:rRNA from 1 species
GACAGAGGGUGCAAACGUUGCUCGGAAUCACUGGGCGUAAAGGGCGCGUAGGCGGGAAGGAAAGUCAGAUGUGAAAUCCCUGGGCUCAACCCAGGAACUGCAUUUGAAACUCCCUUUCUUGAGUGUCGGAGAGGAAAGCGGAAUUCCUGGUGUAGAGGUGAAAUUCGUAGAUAUCAGGAGGAACACCGGUGGCGAAGGCGGCUUUCUGGACGACAACUGACGCUGAGACGCGAAAGCGUGGGGAGCAAACAGG